GGAGCGAAUCACAAAACUCGGUCUCAGUUCAGAUUGCAGGCUGCAACUCGCCUGCAUGAAGUUGGAAUUGCUAGUAAUCGCGAAUCAGAAUGUCGCGGUGAAUACGUUCCCGGGCCUUGUACACACCGCCCGUCACACCAUGAGAGUCGAUAACACCCGAAGCCUGUGAGCUAACCUUUUAGGAGGCAGCAGUCGAAGGUGGGGUUGAUGAUUGGGGUGAAGUCGUAACAAGGUACC
rnacentral:rRNA from 1 species